rnacentral:tRNA from 1 species
GGGUGGUUGGCUGAGUAGACAAAGGCACCACGCUGUAAACGUGGCGGUCUCUGACCUUCGGGGGUGCAAAUCCCUCACCACCCA